AUUCUAUUUGUUUUUGCUUUUUAGAAUAGCAUAAAAUCCCUACUGACAGCCUCUACUUCAUCGAGACUCAAUUGUGAAUUCCCUUUUCAAAGCACUCUUUUUCUCGUCGGAGAUUCUUCGCCGGAGAAAGGAAACUCGGUUAUUCAUCACCUGAUAGUCCGUUGAGAUGGGAAGCAGCAGCGGUAGCGAUGUAGAAGCGGGAUUCGCGAAGCUACAAGGUGAAGAUUUCGAGUAUUACAUGCAAACUUACUCCAUAAUCCUUGGCCGGAAUUCCAAAAAAUCAACGGUAGAUGUCGACUUAUCAUCUCUCGGUGGCGGAAUGAACAUCUCCCGCCACCAUGCUCGCAUCUUCUACGACUUCCAACGACGUCGUUUUGCCCUCGAAGUACUGGGCAAAAACGGGUGUUCAGUUGAAGGUGUUCUUCACCUUCCCGGUACCCCACCCAUCAAGCUAGAUUCUCAAGACCUUCUUCAGAUCGGAGAUAAAGAGUUCUAUUUCCUCCUUCCAAUUCGUAGCAUCCUUGGUGGGUCCAGGGGACAACAUGUCAAUGCGAAUUAUCCAGUGGCGGGUCCUGCCGCCAUUGCCCAUCAUCACCACCAGCAGCAGCAUUUGUCACCGUCUCCUGUUGCGAAUGUAGGUGCGGGAUAUGGUGGGGCAGUGAACAAGGGCUUAUUCAGAGGGAGAGAGUAUUACGAGGAGGAAUAUGAUGACGACGAUGAUGAUGGUGGUUCAGUAGGUAAGAAGAUGAGGAGGGGUGAAGGUCCUGAGGGUGGCGGCUAUGGGUAUGGUUCGUGUGGUUCCAGUGGGAAGGCUUCGAUUUCUGGGCAAUUAGACUUGUUCACGAAAUUACCAAAGCAUAAAAGCAGCUCUGAAUGGAGCAUAUGGAGUUUUGUCGUGACUCAGCUUGAAGCCAUGGAUACGGAGUUCUUUGCCUUUCUAGUUGCGAACUCAAAAUUUCCAGCUAUCCUAGGCUUAUUUAUGACUUUUACUAGCAGAUACAGUUUGCUUACCACUUCAUACUGUUAGCACAUCAUACAGAUGGUAGAAGUAUGUUUAAAGCACAAUCCCCUUCUACAGAUAAUGAAUACCACCAUGUGCCUUUUGGUAUUGUCUCUUCACUUUUAGUGCAAAAAGCAUGAUUGUUCUCCUCAAAGUUCCAAUUUAUUCAUUAUAGAAAAAAAAACAUGGUAUACCUUCUCAAGGUACUUCUUUUAGUUUUUCUCCCUGCAAUUAUCCUGAAGUUAAAGUUGGUAUCUGGGAUUGCUAGUUGAUGAAGGACUCUUUGGAACUCUGGAAAUGGUAUUUCUUUGUUUCCAGGUGAAAGUCAUCAUUGUGAGAUAAAAAAUGAAGAUAAGAAGAUAGAUGGAAGAUUUCGAGCUGACAGAGAUGCUGACAAUCAGCAGCUCUUGCUGUUAGAAGAAAAGGAUGUUGUAUCAUCUGUAGCUAAUGUGCUUUCUGAUCUCUGUGGUCCAGGAGACUGGA